UUCCCAGAGCUCAUCCUGUCACUGGCUGCUCUGCUGAAAUUAUCAAUAAGAAAUGCCAGUUGGAUCUGUGACAUGUCUGCCUGCAGCUGGAUGGGAGCAACGGACAGCUUGUCCUCCGAAUGUGUUUUCUGUAUGUGUGCAAGCGCGUGUGUUCCAAACGGGCAGUAGCGUGUGGGAAGGAAAAAGCCUGACACUUGUUUUUAUCAAUUUGCUGAUGCUCAGUCCCGGCGGCUGCCUCCUUUGCCCCCAGCUGCUCUGCCAUUUCUCUCUUUUCAAUCCUGCAUGAUCCUGAGCAGAGAUAAAAGCAGAUUUCCGCUUCUGCUCCCAGAUCCAGGAGCAGACCCUGCAGGCAGCUGCUCCUGAUGUCUCACAGCUAUUAGUCUUCAAAAACCCCCCGUGCCUCUGUGCACACGCGUCUCUCCUCCCCAGCCAGCCCCCCUCCCAGCCCAGCGGCGAUGUCUCUGCCUGGCUGGCCCGUGCCCUUGACUUCCAGGCAGUAGAAGAUGGAGUUCUCUAGACAGCAGCACUUCAGCCGCCACUCUGCCUCUGAAGGGAAGGAAGGGAAAGGGGUGCUGGCUACUGUGAAAUAACAAGAGUCCAAGAGCAAGGUGUCCAGAGUCAGAGCUCCUGGGUUUGAACCUUGUUCCACCAGCACAUCCUACCUCUGUGGCCUGGAGCUGGGCGACCGGUAGUUCUGCAACAGAUCAGAGGAUGGCAGAGGGUGGCAUUGCUGGGGUGGGGAAGCCCCCUGUAAGCCUGUACUGGAGAAGACCACCACUGCCUCUCUGUGCCCAGAACCAUGUCCCAACCUCCAGUGGUGACCUCGACCUGGACAGCGCCACUCCCAGCUGGCUCUGCUUCCGGAAUGAACCUCAGCUCCUUGACAAGACGGGAGGCGCUGCCCUGCUGUGUCCUUCAGCUCCUACUUAAUGGAAGCCUCGCAGAUGCAAGAUGGCUCCAGCAGGCCCAGCAUCACUUCUUCUCAGUGUCCCAAAGCCAGAAGAGAGGCUGUUGUUUUUAAAAGCAGGAAAACUUUCCUAAACUUGGCCAGAAUUGCAUCACAGACCCUUUCCUAAAACAAUUUCCAGCAAAGGGAAUAGACUUACCAUGUCUGGUACAGAUGAAUCAAGGUUUGCCCCUGGGGGCUGGGGAGGGGCUUGUCCCGCUGAAGCAGACUCUUGCCCAGCAGCUGAACGAAGCCUAGGUUCACCAGACGGAGGAAGAGACUGGCCACUAACAGUGCCUGACACACAGAUGUGCUUCCUGUGAUAUCGCUGCUGCCACCGUUCCAAAUGUAAGCAGUUGGCUGUCUGGGAUACUACCUACCUUCUUUUGUGUUCUUAUUAAUAAAAUUAAAGAUUGCUUUCUGGGUAGAGAAAUU
rnacentral:lncRNA from 1 species